rnacentral:sRNA from 2 species
CAUUCUUAAUCGCUGAAUCUUGAAAGAGCGGGGGAACCACUUUUGUGACAAUGUCACUUGGGGUGAAUCCUUAACAAGGUAGGGCUACUCUUUUGGCCCGAAUCCGACAGCUAACCUCGUAAGCGUUAAGGGAGAGGAUGG